rnacentral:rRNA from 1 species
UACGUAGGGGGCUAGCGUUGUCCGGAAUCAUUGGGCGUAAAGAGCGUGUAGGCGGCCUGGUAAGUCCGCUGUAAAAGUCAAAGGCUCAACCUUUGAAUGUCAGUGGAUACUGCCGGGCUAGAGUCCGGAAGAGGCGAGUGGAACUCCUGGUGUAGCGGUGGAAUGCGCAGAUAUCAGGAGGAACACCGGUGGCGAAGGCGGAUCUCUGGGCCUUACCUGACGCUGAGGCGCGAAAGCUAGGGGAGCGAACAGG